CCUUGCAAUUAAUAAAAAAUACUUUUCACAAUUUUCUUAGUGGUAGGCCAAACCACUAGUUGUGCCUAGAGGCCUCUUACACAAUGUACCAGGCAAAGAGAAAACUGGAAUGAUCAGAGAAAGAAGCCGACAGCUUCUGGUGUUAGUAUCUGAAGUUCAUGAGUCUGAUUCUUGCAGUUCUGCUUCUGGAUCUCACACAUGGUUUUUGUUUGUUUGUUUUGUUGUUUUUUUUUUUUAUUAUGUUAGGCAGCACUUCUUUUUUUUGGCUUGGUUUACUUAAUUUCAAAAUGACAAUAGUAUUUACUUACCUUACAGAGUUUCUGUGAAUCUUUAUUAAGCAUCCCCUGAGGAGCUUGGAGAGAGUUGGACAAAAGCUGCUGUUGAGGUUUGGCUUUCACCUGCAUCUAUUCCUUGGCAUGGUUUUCCAUCUGGCUGAAUGAAGGGAGGAGGUUGGAUCAGGUGGGCAGCAGUCGCAUUCUACUUUUCAGCAAAAGACUUGGACCAGUUGUGGUCUAAAGGGCAGGUGCCCUAUGUGUGGAGUAACUCAAACUUUUAUUCUAUCUGCUUAUCACCACCACCACCUACCUGUCUCCUGAAAUGCAUUCCACACUCAGGAAUUUGUACAUGACUGUGGAAGAAGAAACCACCUCUUCCUUGAUAAACAGUUCUCUGAAGACAUUUGCCAGGGGAUACUGCCGGUGCAACACCAAGAGUAAGUGCAUCUUCAUCAUCAGAACUUCUCCAUGCAACAGCCCUAUGGGACUCCUUGCCAAAGAAUGCUGCAGGUACAAGGAAUUUACAUGGGCUCAAUGGAAAAUGGGAAAGGAACUUGGUGGAGAUAUUAAUUGGUGAUUGCUAAAUAAACAGACCACAAAAUGCACAAGAAAGGUUGGCAUAAUCAAUAAUCUUAAGAAUUGGGUACAGGGUCAACUCACAGAAGUGACUGGGCUGGCUUGAUGCUAUAGGGAUACAGACUCUGAGAGUUUUAUUUAUCAGGACACACAUUUUUACUGAAUGUGCCUAUUUUAUAUCAAAGCAAUUCUCAGCAUGGGUAAGAGGGCAGAAUGAUGGCUCUGUCCUGGCCUGGAAUUGGCAGACAUAACUUUGGUGAAUAUUUGGACCAUGCAAGUAAUCACAUUGAUGUCAGUAGCUCUUCAAAAUGAAUAAGGUUGUACAGAGCAGUUCUUAGAUUCGUAACAGCCUCCCAGUGUGCCGCUCACACCCUCUGUACUUAAAACAUCACCUUCGCAUGUGGCCUGCUGGGCCUAUCAAAGUAGUGAGUUGAAGCAAAUACAGCUGAAGUCAAAGGGCUAGAAGAGAGAAGACUGAGGAAAAAAAGCACUUGAACACAGGGGAGGAGGUUAGCUCUACCUCCUGAAGAGUUCAUGCUAACUUUAUAAGUCCCACUCUUUUUGAAGGGUUCAAGGUCUAAUGUCCCCUUUGCAGCACACUAACUAGCAUGUUGUGCAUGUUCUCUGAGGCUGUAGAGUGCCUCUCCUGUCAUCUCCAGAUUGGGCCUUUGCACUUAUACACAUAUUCCUAUCUGCCGUCUUUGAUUUUCACAUGUACACAACAGUUUUGCUGCCUGCACAGUCCUUUAUUUAUAAAGGCUUGUUGCUGAACUAUGUGCUUGGGUGUGGAGGAUCCUUAAAAAUAUCCUGGGUGAAGUGCAUGUUCCAGCACUUAGUGGCAGUAUAGGAAAAAAGUGAAAAAUGCAUCUAGGAUGUCGGGGAAGAAGGAUUUGUCAUAGCUUGAGCUGUUAACUAUAAAUUUGUGUAUGCCAUUUUUAUUUUUUUAAUAUAUGAUUUAUACAUAAAAUAAUACAUUCAGUUUUGCCCUUACACAGGAAAAAAGGAAAGAAAAAAGCUAUACAUGAGAUGGCACGAGAAAGAGGGGAAGGAAAAAAAUUAAAAUACAUUAUUAAAUAUAUUAUUAAAAUAAAUUACAGAUAUGGUUGGGCCCUGUAAAAGACUUUGUAUUUAGGUUGCUUUGGAAGGCAGAGAUCAUUGCCCAGAACCAAUAAAUAGCAGGUAGGAAGGAUCACAUCUGCUUUACAUUCUAAUUAAAAUUUCAAACAAGCAGCUGAGGCACAUGUUCUCUGUAACCAACUGGCUGUGGUGUUUUGAGAGCUCUCUGAUGAGAUGAAAGA